rnacentral:rRNA from 1 species
UACGGGGGGGGCGAGCGUUGUUCGGAAUUACUGGGCGUAAAGGGCUCGUAGGUGGCCAACUAAGUCAGACGUGAAAUCCCUCGGCUUAACCGGGGAACUGCGUCUGAUACUGGAUGGCUUGAGAUUGGGAGAGGGAUGCGGAAUUCCAGGUGUAGCGGUGAAAUGCGUAGAUAUCUGGAGGAACACCGGUGGCGAAGGCGGCAUCCUGGACCAACACUGACACUGAGGAGCGAAAGCCAGGGGAGCAAACGGG